rnacentral:rRNA from 1 species
AGGACGAACGCUGGCGGCGCGCUUAACACAUGCAAGUCGAGCGAGAACCAGGGCUUCGGCCCUGGGGAAAGCGGCGAACGGGUGAGUAACACGUGAGUAACCUGUCCUCGGCACCGGGAUAGCCCGGGGAAACCCGGAUUAAUACCGGAUGGCCUUUCGAGCUCUCGGGCUCGUUAGAAAAGGUAGCUUCGGCCUCCGGCCGAGGAGGGACUCGCGGCGGAUUAGCUUGUUGGUGAGGUAACGGCUCACCAAGGCGACGAUCCGUAGCUGGUCUGAGAGGACGAUCAGCCACACUGGGACUGAGACACGGCCCAGACUCCUACGGGAGGCAGCAGUGGGGAAUCUUGCGCAAUGGGCGGAAGCCUGACGCAGCGACGCCGCGUGCGGGAAGAAGGCCUUCGGGUUGUAAACCGCUUUCAGGAGGGACGAAGCCACUCGGGUUAAUAGCCCAGAGGGUGACGGUACCUCCAGAAGAAGCCCCGGCUAACUACGUGCCAGCAGCCGC